UACGUAGGGACCAAGCGUUGUCCGGAAUCAUUGGGCGUAAAGAGCGUGUAGGCGGCUUGUUAAGUCUUGCGUGAAAUCUCGGGGCUCAACCCCGAGCGGUCGUGAGAAACUGGGCAGGCUAGAGUGCGGGAGAGGAGAGUGGAAUUCCUGGUGUAGCGGUGAAAUGCGCAGAUAUCAGGAAGAACACCCGUGGCGAAGGCGGCUCUCUGGAACGCAACUGACGCUGAGACGCGAAAGCGUGGGGAGCAAACAGG
rnacentral:rRNA from 1 species